rnacentral:rRNA from 2 species
UGAGGAAUAUUGCACAAUGGAGGAAACUCUGAUGCAGCAACGCCGCGUGGAGGAUGACGCAUUUCGGUGUGUAAACUCCUUUUAUGAGCCAAGAUAAUGACGGUAGCUCAUGAAUAAGCACCGGCUAACUCCGUGCCAGCAGCCGCGGUAAUACGGAGGGUGCAAGCGUUACUCGGAAUCACUGGGCGUAAAGGACGCGUAGGCGGGUUGGAAAGUCAGGUGUGAAAUCCUACAGCUUAACUGUAGAACUGCACUUGAAACUUCUAACCUAGAGUAUGGGAGGGGGAGAUGGAAUUAGUGGUGUAGGGGUAAAAUCCGUAGAUAUCACUAGGAAUACCCAAAGCGAAGGCGAUCUCCUGGAACAUAACUGACGCUAAGGCGUGAAAGCGUGGGGAGCAAACGGG